rnacentral:rRNA from 1 species
UACAGAGGGUGCGAGCGUUAAUCGGAAUUACUGGGCGUAAAGCGUGCGUAGACGGUUAUUUAAGUCGGAUGUGAAAGCCCCGGGCUCAACCUGGGAAUUGCAUUCGAGACUGAAUAGCUAGGGUACGGUAGAGGGAAGUGGAAUUUCCGGUGUAGCGGUGAAAUGCGUAGAUAUCGGAAGGAACAUCAGUGGUGAAAGCGACUUCCUGGACCAGUACCGACGUUCAGGCACGAAAGCGUGGGGAGCAAACAGG